rnacentral:rRNA from 1 species
UACGUAGGGCGCAAGCGUUGUCCGGAAUUAUUGGGCGUAAAGAGCUCGUAGGCGGCUUGUCACGUCGGUUGUGAAAGCCCGGGGCUUAACCCCGGGUCUGCAGUCGAUACGGGCAGGCUAGAGUUCGGUAGGGGAGAUCGGAAUUCCUGGUGCAGCGGUGAAAUGCGCAGAUAUCAGGAGGAACACCGGUGGCGAAGGCGGGUCUCUGGGCCGAUACUGACGCUGAGGAGCGAAAGCGUGGGGAGCAAACAGG